GUGGGGAAUAUUGCACAAUGGGGGAAACCCUGAUGCAGCGACGCCGCGUGAGUGAAGAAGUAUUUCGGUAUGUAAAGCUCUAUCAGCAGGGAAGAAAAUGACGGUACCUGACUAAGAAGCCCCGGCUAACUACGUGCCAGCAGCCGCGGUAAUACGUAGGGGGCAAGCGUUAUCCGGAAUUACUGGGUGUAAAGGGAGCGUAGGUGGCAUGGCAAGUCAGAAGUGAAAGCCCUUGGCUUAACUGGGGGACUGCUUUUGAAACUGUCAGGCUAGAGUGCAGGAGGGGUAAGUGGAAUUCCUAGUGUAGCGGUGAAAUGCGUAGAUAUUAGGAGGAACACCGGUGGCGAAGGCGGCUUACUGGACUGUAACAGACACUGAGGCUCGAAAGCGUGGGGAGCAAACAGGAUUAGAUACCCGAGUAGUCC
rnacentral:rRNA from 1 species